rnacentral:rRNA from 1 species
AAACUUCACAAUGUGGGAAACCACGAUGAGGGAAUUCCAAGUGCUGUCACAAUGUGGCAGCUGUUUACCUGCGUAAAAAACAGGUAGAGUAAGAGCUGGGUAAGACUGGUGCCAGCCGCCGCGGUAAUACCAGCAGCUCGAGUGGUGGUCGCUAUUAUUGGGUUUAAAACGUCCGUAGCUGGUCUAGUAAAUUCCUGGGUAAAUCGAAUUGCUUAACGAUUCGAAUUCCGGGUAGACUGCUAGACUUGGGACCG